rnacentral:tRNA from 1 species
AGCGCCAUCGUCUAGCGAGCAGGACACGUUGGCUUUCACCCUUCGGACGCGGGUUUGAAUCCCGUUGGCGCUGCCA